GAUGAAGAACGCAGCGAAAUGCGAUAAGUAAUGCGAAUUGCAGAAUUUCCGUGAGUCAUCGAAUCUUUGAACGCACAUUGCGCCCAUUGGUAUUCCGAUGGGCAUGCCUGUUCGAGCGUCAUUAUCUUCCCUCAAACCUCGCGUUUGGUGUUGGGCCGUGCUGGUUCCUGCGUGACCAACUGGCCUCAAAGACAAUGACGGCGUCCGUGGGACCCUCGAUGCAACGAGCUUCUCAGGAGCACGCGUCGAGUUUCAAGGACCUUCCGGGCCGGUCUCACCUCAUGUUAUUACAAGGUUGACCUCGGAUCAGGUAGGGAUACCCGCUGAACUUAAGCAUAUCAAUAAGCGGAGGA
rnacentral:misc_RNA from 1 species